AAGGAAAUCUACAGCUCAUUACUAAGUUGGUUAAUGGGGGAGUGUUUGAAGACUCGAGACUAGUUUAUGUGGCGGAAAACACGGGUUAUAUCACACCGUGGGGUGACACGCAGAUAAGACGCCCCAAAUUUUCCCCAUAAAGUAACGAUGUCUUUACACUUUCUAAUUUCAGUGUAGCCAGACUUGGACAGAUAGUUGAGUGUGUUAGAAACCCGGGAUCCGGUUCAAUUCCUACGGCCUAAAUCAGAACUAAUAGCAGACAGAACUCCACCCGCGUUUCACGAGACGCUUACCGCGUAAAAUAGGCAGCCGUAUGGGUUUUUUUUUUUUAAAGUUAAAUAAAUAUUUCCAUGUUCAGGGGGAUGUAUAUGUGACGUAUCUCUUCCUUCCGCCUGUUCAAAGCUCCACAUCCCUAUAUACAGAUCGAACUUACAUUGAUACGAUUUAGAAAUAAGCAAGCGGAAAAACUUUACAGGUUUAAUGCAAAACAGACAACUGUUUUGAAACGAGAAACGAAAGGCGGCUACCAUCCCACCAUAUUACAGUGUUAUUAUAGGAAAAAGGAGAGAUGGGAUCUACACGAAUAUUAAGUCCGUUCUCAAAACAUGAACAAAACCAUUCCUCGACCCACUUGGCAAAGAAAUUCAACCUCCUAUCCACGCCAACACGGGGGAAUACAAUGUUUUGAAUGGAUGUAUGAAAUUGGGUAAAACGGAAUACUUACAGCUUGAAGACCACGGUCCGAGAGGAAAGAAAAUCCCUAAUGCAUGAACAAGUGUAUUCGACAUUAAAACACAUUAAAUAUAUUUCAUUGAA